rnacentral:lncRNA from 10 species
AGCAAAUUGAACAGAGAUAGCCUUGGAGUUCUGAGGUGAAGUGUCCUCCCUCCAUCUCCUUCCUUGUCUCCCAGGUUGGGGUUUCAGAAAGAAAGAGGAUAGUUUUGUGUUUUGUGCAGUCAGAUAGGACCACAAGGAGAUGAUAAUUGCUGUGCCUCAGCACGGAAGCAACAGGAAGGUAUGGGUUAGCCAGGCCUGGUUAGGAACAAGUUUAGAGAAUGCCAUUUCUGAAAGGGACUUGUGGAUGGGAACAAGAGAUAUCUCAGAGGCUACCUGUGUAAGCCAGUGACUGAGGAUUAAAUGGGAUCCUACCUGAGUACCUAGGUACCUCUGUAAUGCUCCUUGAUCACGGAUACAACCCUGGAAAAGGGGAGUUGACAAAAUUGGCUUUCUCCUGGUCCCAGUUGUUUACUCAGACCCAGGGAGUGACUGGUUGUGCAAUGGUGAGCAAAACGAAGCAUCUGCCUUUAACUCAGUGAGAGGAUGACAAUAAAUAAUCAUCAAACACAUCAUUGCAAAAUAGGAAGUGAAAUAAAAAGAAGAGCAUGAUGAAAUAGAGAAUAACAUGGGGUUGUGUAUGGAUGGAAUAAUUAAAGAAGGCAAGGGGAUCCUAAUGAAUGAGAAGAAGACAAAAAUCCUGGAAGGGAAAGAGCUUUCUUGCGGAAGGAAGACUAUAUGCAAAGACCUCAGGAAAAUGAGAAACUGAAAGAUGGGCCCUGUGACUAGCAUGAAGUGGGUGAAGGAGAAAUGAUGUGAAAUUAAAUUGAAGAAGUCAGCAGGAAUUAGACCUCCUACAGCCAUGCUGGCCAAGAUGCAGAGGCCACUUCAUUCCUUGUGCCAUGAGAAGCUUAACCUAAGAGAGAAGUGCCCAGAGGUGAAACUAUAAACUGGAGGCCUAAUUAAGACCUGCUGUUUCCUGAAAUUUUGUGUGCGCAGCCCUGGGAAGGAAAGUUGCACGGAGCUUUCCUUGAAGGGGUAAUCUUGAGAGAAAAUCCUGGCAUUCUAGUCACUUCUUUCAAACAUAGCCCUUACUUAAGAACCACAGUGAAUUUAUGUCUACGGUAAACAUGAAAGCCUGUUAUGGAACAGGCUUAGGGAAAACUCAAAUCAACGUGAUCAUCAUGAGUUUUGGACUUCAGCUGCUCCUAGCCAAUGUUUCCAAAUUUACGCUGAAACACCAUUAUAGAUCAUACAAUUUUAGCCUGUUGACGUUUUCUUACCUCUUCUUUUCCCGUUACUUUGUUAAGAAUGGAAGUCACUCUUCCUAACAAGAGAGAGAAAAUCACCUUGCAAGAAAUAUAAUAAUUCAAAACUAUUCAUUGUAAAAUAAUUUGACUUUUGAUGAGGUUGCAAAAGGCCUGAAUUGAACAGAUUUCUGACCAGCUCCCACUUUAUCUGCUUUCAUUAGAAAAAAAUUUUUUCCUAAUGUUGCUUUUUUAUUAAAUAGUUC